rnacentral:tRNA from 1 species
AUACUAGUGUCAGAGGUCCAUGAGUUGAUUUUAAGCGUCAAAUACAAAGUGUUUUUAGCUUUCUAGUAUU